rnacentral:lncRNA from 1 species
GGUUUUAUACAUCUUUUUAAAAAAAUUAUCAAACCGAACUGACCCAAAAAGCACUAAUCGCUCAGCACUAAUGACUGGUUUGCUAGGCUGGUUUGAUGGCUGGUUUGAUGGCUGGAUUGAUGGCUGGAUCGAUGGCUGGUUUGAUGGCUGUUUGCUAGGCUGGUUUGAUGGCUGGUUUGAUGGCUGUUUGAUGGCUGGUUCGAUGGCUGGUUUGAUGGCUGGAUUGAUGGCUGGUUUGAUGGCUGGUUCGAUGGCUGGUUUGAUGGCUGGUUUGCUAGGCUGGUUUGAUGGCUGGAUUGAUGGCUGGUUUGAUGGCUGUUUGCUAGGCUGGAUUGAUGGCUGGUUUGCUAGGCUGGUUUGAUGGCUGGAUUGAUGGCUGGUUUGCUAGGCUGGUUCGAUGACUGGAUUGCUAGGCUAGUUCGAUGGCUGGUUCAAUGACUGGAUUUCUAGGCUGGUUUGAUGGCUGGUUCGAUGGCUGGUUCGAUAACUGGAUUUCUAGGCUGGUUCGAUAACUGGAUUUCUAGGCUGGUUCGAUAACUGGAUUUCUAGGCUGGUUUGAUGGCUGUUUGCUAGGCUGGUUCGAUGGCUGGUUUGCUAGGCUGGUUCGAUAACUGGAUUUCUAGGCUGGUUUGAUGGCUGGAUUUCUAGGCUGGUUCGAUAACUGGAUUUCUAGGCUGGUUUGAUGGCUGGAUUUCUAGGCUGGUUCGAUGGCUGGAUUUCUAGGCUGGUUUGAUGGAUGGAUUUCUAGGCUGGUUUGAUGGAUGGAUUUCUAGGCUGGUUUGAUUGUUUCCUCUUCAGGAAAAUGUACAGUAUGUUUGGUUAUUAUUUCAAUGCAGAGCCCUCUGCUGGUGACAGGAAAAACUGUGCUCAGGAGGCGGAAGCUUAACACUGAGUGUACAAAACAUUAAGAACACUUUCCUACUAUUGAGUUGCACCCGCUUUUUCCCUCAGAACAGCCUCAAUUGGUCAGGACAUGGACUCUACAAGGUGUCGAAAGCGUUCCACAGGGAUGCUGGUCCCAUGUUGACUCCAAUACUUCCCGCAGUUGUGUGAAGUCGGCUGGAUGUCCUUUGGGUGAUGGGCCAUUCUUGAUUCAUACGGGAAACUGUUGAGUGUGAAAAACCCAGCAGCGUUGCAAUUCUUGAUACAAACUGGUGCAUCUGGCACCUACUACCAUACUCUGUUCAAAGGCACUUCAAUAUUUUGUGUCUUGCCCGUUCACUCUCUGAAUGGCGCAAAUACACAAUCCAUGUCAUAAUUGUCUGAAGGUUUAAAAUUCCUUCUUCAACCUGUCUCCUCCUCUUCAUCUACACUGAUUUUCAAGUGGAUUUAACAAGUGACAUCAAUAAGGGAUCAUAUCCUUCACCUGGAUUCACCUGGUCAGUCUGUCAUGGAAAGAGUAGGUGUUCUUAAUGUUUUGUACACACAAUAGAUAAGCUUGCCUGGUCCCAGAUCUGUUUGUGUUGUUGUUGUGACCUUAUUGAGUUGGCAAGACAGCACAGAUCUGACUAUAUCGACUGAGACGAGUGUCAUGACAGUUUAUGGCAAACUUUGUUCAUUUAUGUUUAUAUUCAGUGCAUUCGGGAAAGUAUUCAGACCCCCUUCCCUUUAUCCACAUUUUGUUACGCUACAGCCUUGUUUCAAAAUGUAUUAAAUCAAUCUACACACAAUACCCCAUAAUGACAUCACAAUACCCCAUAAUGACAUCACAAUACCCCAUAAUGACAUCACAAUACCCCAUAAUGACAUCACAAUACCCCAUCAUGACAUCACAAUACUCCAUAAUGACAAAGCAAAAACAGGUUGACAUUUUUUGUUGUUGCUAAUUUAUAAGAAAUACUAAACAGAAAGUAAGUACAUAAGUAUUCAGACCUUUUGCUAUGAGACUCGAAA